UACAGAGGGUGCAAGCGUUAAUCGGAAUUACUGGGCGUAAAGCGUGCGUAGGUGGUUUGUUAAGUCAGGUGUGAAAUCCUCGGGCUCAACCUGGGAACUGCGCUUGAUACUGGCAGACUAGAGUGUGGUAGAGGGUAGUGGAAUUCCCGGUGUAGCGGUGAAAUGCGUAGAUAUCGGGAAGAACAUCAGUGGCGAAGGCGGCUACCUGGACCAACACUGACACUGAGGCACGAAAGCGUGGGGAGCAAACAGG
rnacentral:rRNA from 1 species